AAAGAAUGGAAAAUGCAUUUAAAGCUUUAAAAUGCCUUCUGGGAGUUCGUGCACAUCCUGGAUUCCUGGAUGUGGGUGCCACAGCAUUCCCAGUGUGACAAGCGAAGGGGAAGAGACAUAUGCAUACGCAGGAGAACACGAGGCCCGAGCCCGCCUCGCACACGCGGCACGCCUCGCAGCGCCCAGUCGUCUCAUCCUGGUAGUAGCCGUAGGCGCAGCGGCACACGGCGUCGUCGGCCUCCACGCAUGGCGCCGACAUGCUCUGGAGCCCCACGCACUCGGUGCACGGCUUGCACGGCUCGGUCGCGCUCACCACGUCGGAGAACGUCACGCCUGAGCGCAGCGGACACCAGAUUUAGUCGUCUGCUCUUUUGGGCACCCGGGACGCAGGAGCUGGAGUCUCUCCCUCCCCCAUUGCCUGCCAGGACGCUGACUUCCUCCUUCAGCCUUCUCAUCGGCUCCCACCCUCUUCCAAGGGACCCUGACCCCUAGCCUGUGAAAGUUGGUGGCAGCCAACUGGGAAAGCGGGAGGAGGCCCGGAGCCGCAUCCUCCAGGCUCCAGAAGCACUGGCCGGCCGGGAGGCUUUCCGGCAUAACCCAGCUGGUGCCGCUAAGUUUCUUGGCAAAUUCUCUUUGAGAGUUCCCAGGCCUGUACUAUGUUCCCAGAAUGAUUAAGGAAUAAUCCGAACGUGGUUCCCACCCAGCCCUCCCCGCGGGCCAGAGCUGGGCUGCUAACCCAGUCCAGGCAAGGUAGGCCUUCCCCUAGGGAGCCUCCUGCCUCAUCUGCCUUCAGUUCCUCUCCACACAGGUGUGGGCUCAGAUGCAGCCUGAAUGGGAGUGACCGGGGUUAGACAGCAGAGUUUCCCACCCAUGGCACUACCCCCACGCUGCUGAAGGGCUUGGAUCCUGAGGGUGGGGACGGACCUGCAGGCAAGAGGGCUCAGGUAAGGCAGGAGCCACUGAAGCUAGAGAGCU
rnacentral:antisense_RNA from 1 species